ACCCGCUGAACUUAAGCAUAUCAAUAAGCGGAGGAAAAGAAACCAACAGGGAUUGCCUCAGUAACGGCGAGUGAAGCGGCAAGAGCUCAAAUUUAAAAGCCGACGUAGCUUUAAGAGACGUCCGCAUUGUAAUUUGAAGAGGCAUUCUCGGGUCGGGGCUCAGGCCUAAGUUCCUUGGAAGAGGGCGUCGUGGAGGGUGAGAACCCCGUUCGCGGCCUGCUGUCGACCUUUCCCCGAUCCACACGAGGUGCCAUCGAAGAGUCGAGUUGUUUGGGAAUGCAGCUCAAAGCGGGUUGGAAAUUCCAUCUUAAGCCUAAUAAUGACCGGAGACCGAUAGCGACAGGUUAGAGUGAUCGAAGGAUGAAAAGCACUUGGAAAGGAAAGUUAAACAGCACGUGAAAUUGUUGAAAGGGAAGCGCUUGAGACCAGUCACGGACCGAGGCGAUCAGUGGGACGUCCCUCUCGGGGGAGGAACCGCGCACUCGCUUUUCGGGUUUUCCGGGUCAACAUCGGUUGGGACGGUGUCAGAAAGGUCGCGGGAACGUGGCUCCCUUCACGGGGAGUGUUAUAGCCCGUGGCGUCAAAGUCGCCAGUUUCGACCGAGGACCGCGCUCGUCUUUUUCGAGCAAGGAUGUUGACGUAAUGGUCCC
rnacentral:rRNA from 1 species